rnacentral:rRNA from 1 species
CCUACGGGCGGCAGCAGUGGGGAAUAUUGGACAAUGGGGGCAACCCUGAUCCAGCCAUGCCGCGUGUGUGAAGAAGGCCCUCGGGUUGUAAAGCACUUUCAGUGAGGAAGAACGCCUGGUGGUUAAUACCCAUCAGGAAAGACAUCACUCACAGAAGAAGCACCGGCUAACUCCGUGCCAGCAGCCGCGGUAAUACGGAGGGUGCGAGCGUUAAUCGGAAUUACUGGGCGUAAAGCGCGCGUAGGUGGCUUGAUAAGCCGGUUGUGAAAGCCCCGGGCUCAACCUGGGAACGGCAUCCGGAACUGUCAAGCUAGAGUGCAGGAGAGGAAGGUAGAAUUCCCGGUGUAGCGGUGAAAUGCGUAGAGAUAGGGAGGAAUACCAGUGGCGAAGGCGGCCUUCUGGACUGACACUGACACUGAGGUGCGAAAGCGUGGGUAGCAAACAGGAUUAGAUACCCGUGUAGUC